CCUACGGGAGGCAGCAGUGAGGAAUCUUCCACAAUGGGCGAAAGCCUGAUGGAGCGACACCGCGUGCGGGAAGACAGUCUUCGGAUUGUAAACCGCUUUUCUGUGAGAAUACUUCGAAUGUAUCACAGGAAUAAUCACGGCUAAUCACGU
rnacentral:rRNA from 1 species